rnacentral:sRNA from 1 species
AUCUAAAUACUUUUUGAAAGUGAAUUUAAAUCUCAAUUUCAUAAUCAUAAUACAGAGAAAUUGAUUUUUCUUUGAAUGAUAAAUCUCUUUGUUUCUUGAAAGAAAAGAUUUGGCACUAAAGAUACGCAGGAAAAGUGAUGCAUCUGCAUGCUGUUUUAAAAGCAGCGUGAAGAUGCAGAAGUGUCAUCCUGUCAAAAUUCAUCAGGAAAAGCAACAUUGGAAAGAUCAAGUAUGCAAAAAUAGAAAAAAUUUAGCAAAUGCAAUUACACUUGCACCUUCUAAUGAAUUUUUAUUGUCUGCAGUAUAUGAAGUUCAUUCGGCUGCUAGAAAAGUUAUUGACAUUGCAGUGUGGUGCUGCUGAGGAAGAAUUUGUGCAGAGGUUUCGAAGAAGUGUAACUCUUGAAUCAAAAAAACAGCUGAUUGAACCUGUACAGUAUGAUGAGCAAGGAAUGGCCUUCAGCAAAAGCGAAGGUAAAAGAAAGACUGCAAAAGCAGAAGCAAUUGUUUAUAAACAUGGAAGCGGAAGAAUAAAAGUCAAUGGAAUUGAUUACCAGCUUUACUUCCCGAUCAUACAGGACAGAGAACAGCUGAUGUUCCCUUUCCACUUUGUUGACCGGCUGGGAAAGCACGAUGUGACCUGCACAGUCUCAGGGGGCGGGAGGUCGGCGCAGGCUGGAGCAAUACGAUUGGCAAUGGCAAAAGCCUUGUGCAGCUUUGUCACCGAGGACGAGGUCGAGUGGAUGAGACAAGCUGGACUACUUACUACUGAUCCACGUGUGAGGGAACGGAAGAAGCCAGGCCAAGAGGGAGCCCGCAGAAAGUUUACGUGGAAGAAGCGCUAAGGGUUUGCUCCCAGGAAAGAAGAGGAAGAGCUAUAUAUAUGUGCCGGCAUGUGGCAGACACACAGUAAAUAAUGGCUGACCAGCAUGAGGGCAGUACUGUCAGAAAUUUCUUUGAGCUGUGAGAUGGA